CGAACACGGAAGUUAAGCUCUUCUGCGCCGAUGGUACUGCAUGGGUGACUAUGUGGGAGAGUAGGUCGCCGCCGAUU
rnacentral:rRNA from 1 species